rnacentral:rRNA from 1 species
GACGAACGCUGGCGGCGUGCUUAACACAUGCAAGUCGAACGGAAAGGCCCUGCUUUUGUGGGGUGCUCGAGUGGCGAACGGGUGAGUAACACGUGAGUAACCUGCCCUUGACUUUGGGAUAACUUCAGGAAACUGGGGCUAAUACCGGAUAGGAGCUCCUGCUGCAUGGUGGGGGUUGGAAAGUUUCGGCGGUUGGGGAUGGACUCGCGGCUUAUCAGCUUGUUGGUGGGGUAGUGGCUUACCAAGGCUUUGACGGGUAGCCGGCCUGAGAGGGUGACCGGCCACAUUGGGACUGAGAUACGGCCCAGACUCCUACGGGAGGCAGCAGUGGGGAAUAUUGCACAAUGGGCGGAAGCCUGAUGCAGCAACGCCGCGUGGGGGAUGACGGCCUUCGGGUUGUAAACCGCUUCCGCCUGUGACGAAGCGUGAGUGACGGUAAUGGGUAAAGAAGCACCGGCUAACUACGUG